UUUUGUCAACUGGGUUUAAGUCACUCUGGCCAGUUCCACUAACAUCAGCCAAGAUCAGCGAGGGAUCGAACUGAUAAGACAUCGAUUUUUUGAGCACUUUCUUCAGAGAUAAUGUGACCUCUUAUCUCCUUCAUUGGAGCUGCUAAGUAACAUGGGAAGUGGGAAAACGCACUUUGUCCAUUUGGUUUUUUCAGAGCGAAUGUUUUAGAACUACAUGCUGAAUCCAAACUCAGGCUCACAAGUGCAAACUUAUAAAGCGACCAACAUGACUGUGAAAGCAAACAACAUUUUGAAAAGUCGUUUUCACACAUGUGUCACACUCGAGCACUUCAGUCAGAACUGCCUUCUGGGUCCAGUUCAAAUUCAGCACUGAUGAAGACAAGUUUGGUUCAGGAUCAGUUUUGGGAAGACUAAUAAAAACACAUUGUCCGCCGACGUGAAGACCGCAAAUUGAUUAGCGAUCUCUUUGAUCGAGUUUCGAAAUCGAUCUCUCUGAUUUCGUCCGCACAACUAUGCACGCCAAUAUAAGAUAGAUUGGUCUUUAAGAGCAAUGAUGGCUUGUUUGAUCGGGUUUGAAUGCCUAAGCAUAUCACCUAUUCAUACUAUCUGUAUUUGUGAGAAUUCUCUCGCGCACACUUGUUGCAGUUGGCCUCCAUCAAAAAACUUUGAUAUCAAAGGGAGGGAAAUGGACGCGAUACAGAAGUCAAACUUGUCAUUUUAAGUCAACACACAAUUCACCACUCAACGAGAAUCCAGAAGAGCAAUGGCAAGACAUUCUCGAAUCUCGACCACUGCCAGGACUACUACUGCACCACGCACAACGACAUGCAUGUGGAGCAAGACGACAGACUUGCCGAUACAAUCGCUCCUCGGCGUGAACAUGUUUCCCUCCUUGAGUCCGUCUUCCUCGGGUAAUGAAACGGCACAGUUCAGCCAUAAAAUACGAGUGACUACUUGUAUAUUCUGAUAAUUGCUCCUUCAAAAGGUUAUCGUGUGUUAACAGUGUUUUCAUCGGAAUAAAAAUGCCACUAGCAGGGAGUUUGAACGUAAAUCGUAUUCUUCACAUCUCACCAAUAGAUGGUGGCACCCUGACAAGAACAAACGAGGGCAAAAAUAGAGCAUAAGUAGAUCUGAAACUGCUUCCACCAUGUUACUUUGAACAUGGGACGCUAUUCAUCAUUUGAUUUCGAGCUGAUUAAUGCCUUGCAAUGAUCUGGCGAGGUUUUAAAGCCACAAAAUUUGGCCAAAAGUUAGGCCCAAAAAACAUUAAGAAAAACACAUUUUCGUCAUUAGGUAGCAUUAGAAUGGGCAAAAUCAACAGAACCACUAAUUGCUGACGCAGAGAAUACGGUUUGUAAUUUUUUUUUUGCAUGUGUUUGAGGUGAUUCAGGAAAUGCAUUGAACGCCGCCAUCUAGGGUCUUAUGUUCUCCAAAACUCCUCAAUCCUCAUAGGAGAGAGCUUCUCUGGUGAAAAAGAAGGGAACGUGCAAUGUUGCGAGCAAAUGUAGUGUUAGUUUAUUCGUCUGAGAACUGGAUCCCGAGAGACGAUUAAAGUCGAAAAACAUUGCUCCUCUUAUCCAUGAUCUCUGUCGCUCUGUCUCCUCGCCACUCUUGUGGACAAUUUCAAGAAGAUCCAUGUGGUUUCCCGCUUCAAAAAUAGACCUCUAACCUCGCUCUCGUGAUCUGCCCUGAGAGCUCAGAAAACACCAAUGGGCAAAUCUCAAGGAUACAUUAUCCGUCGAUCGAGCGAAUGCAAACAAACUUCCAAUGCGAGGAUCUCGUUCAACGACGCGCUCCAAUCACUUCCGAGAAUCUCCCCAAGUCAGUUGAAUACAAAUCGUUGUUCCACGAUUACUGGUCUGAUAAAAGUUCAGGUCAAGCAUUUUGACGAGUUCAAACCAUGGCUUGGUUGAACAGAAGUCUCAUUCCACUAAUAUCGAAGUCCUGGCCUUGGUGGAGCAUGCCGUAAACAAUCAAGAUUCUGUGAAGCAAUACCAUUUGUCCUAUGUACAGUAUCAUGUGGAUCAUACCAGACAGGCUGUUCAAGAUUUGUGCGAAAGAAGAAACUUGAAGACAACAUGGCACCAACGAAUUACAAUUCUCCAACAAACUUCCGGUCAUGACUUGAUAAAAAUUAAUUUGAUUCUCCUCUUUAUGCAAAAACGCUCGUUGAUUUUACAUGAAUUGUGUGUAGAAGCAUCAUGUCUCAAAAGCAAGAAAAAUCAAACUUUAACCCUA